AUUUCAUUGUAAAAGAUACACUAAUUCACAUCAACGUUUGUCAGGGGAUGUGGCCUGUUUAUUGAAAUAAAAAAAAAAGGAGAGGACGCUAUGUACAUAAUAAACAAUAUUAAACCUGAUUACAAACCAACGGCCAUAGCCAGUGUGUACUGCUAGUAUUUAUAUAUAAGAAAAGAAAAAAUAUAUUAAAGGUAUAAAUACUUUAUUCCAUUUUUCAGAAAUAGGAAAUGCUUUUAGAUUAAUAUUAUCAAGUGCAUUUGUUUUAUUGAAGAAUUUGAAAGAGAUAGAGGCCUCCCCCAAAAAACCUGCACUUCACUUACUUAAAUCCGGCCCUGUUAUCAUCUCCAGAAUUUCUUUUCUCUUUUCCUUUUUUUUUAAAAAGUCUACCUUGCAAGACACAUUCUUACAUCGUUGUGAAAUCACUUAACCAGAUUAGCUUCAGAUUGUUGAGUAGAUUGUAGAUUAUACAUUCUUCCUCAUUAGUUAAUUAAAGUUCCUACAAAAUCACAGAAUAAUAUCAUCUAUGCUCUAAAGUUUUGGGUAUUUGUAACAUUAAAUCUGCUUCCUACAUCCCAUCAUUCCCCCUCAAAAAUGUAUAAAGUAAUUUGGUUCGUAAUUCAGAGGCAAGUAAGCUGACUUUUCAAAGAAGUCUAUCAAUGCGUUAUUAAUUAUUUCGUUUGUUGCAAGUUAUGGGUGUUUACAGUAAUCACGUGUCAGCAUCAAAUAUUUCUGUGAGUAACAUUAAUGUAUGCAUUACAUAAUCCGAAAGCGUUGGUGCAUUCGUGUGGAAGACCAGUACUGAAUCUAUUGCACUGUAAUGUGCAUGUGUUUGUAGGUUUCUCUAAGUGUAAAAAAAAAAUGUGAUGCAAUGUGGCCUAUAAUAUUUACGUAUCACUGUCAAGCUACCAGGCAGAUGAUUAUUUUUUACACUCUCCAGAUGUGUGUGGGAUGAUAACAUGUAUAGGGGAGAUAAUUCUAAAUCUAUACGUCUUCGCCCACAAGGAAAAAAAAAGUUCCUAAAAAUGUCUUUUUUUCCCCCGCUGACAAAAUCACCUUUAUGUUGACAUGAGAUCAAGUUUUUUGUGUUCUUUUUUUUUUCUGAAACUCUUGCUUGUCAUUGACCUCAUCAUUGGUGAAGGUGUUCUCUGACUCCAUUAGUGCCAUUACUUCAGUUUGAUUUGAUCAAAGUCGAACUCAAUCCUUCUUUUCUACUUCAACUGCUAUCCUUGAAACAAGAAGUAGAUCUACGUCCUAAAGAAUGAACGAAACAAAUUGAAACAAAACAGGGUUAUACAUAGACUUAGAUCUACUACUAGACUGGAAACCGGAAAUACAUUCUUAUCCGCGACUGAUCGGUCGUGCACAUUUUGUAGAAAGUUGGAUCAAGGCGUUGUUUUGUCAAGUAGUUCAAAGAAAUUUACUUCUGCGCAUUUAGACCUCUUAGCAACUUAGGAAAUAAAACACGGCUAAUGUAUCUAGGUCAACACCUUACACCUACGUCACAGUGUUUAUAGGCUUUUACUAUAAUAGGCUCGAAGUUUUUAUUUAUUGACUAGACUACUAUGGCAUUCAAAUUGUUUAGAUUCUAAAUCUAGAGCUACAUACAAUUAAACUAACAAUGUUAUAUAAACAAUUACA